GGAUGUGAGGGCGAUGUGGCUAUGACAUCUGUCACUCCACUGAUCGCCAGGGUUGAUCUGGCUGGCCAGGUGGGUGUCCCCUUCCUCCCUCACUGCUCCAUGUGCGUCCCUCCCAGAGCUGCACGCUCCGUUGAAGAGGACGACCAUCCCGGAUAGAGGAGGACCGUUCUUCGGUCAAGGGUAUACGAGUAGCUGAGUUCCCCUGCUAGAACCUCCAAACAAGCUCUCAACGAACAAGCUGGGCAUGGUAAUGCACACUGGUAAUCCCAGCUAUGCAGGAAGCAUAGAU
rnacentral:snRNA from 1 species